UACAGAGGGUGCAAGCGUUGUUCGGAAUUACUGGGCGUAAAGCGCGUGUAGGUGGCGAUGUAAGUCGGGUGUGAAAUCCCUCAGCUUAACUGAGGAAGUGCACUCGAUACUGUGUCGCUUGAGUGUUGGAGGGGAUGGCGGAAUUCCCGGUGUAGAGGUGAAAUUCGUAGAUAUCCGGAGGAACCCCAGAGGCGAAGGCGGCAGCCUGGUUGGCUCCUGACGCUCGGACACGACAGCAUGGGGAGCGAACGGG
rnacentral:rRNA from 1 species